UCUCCGUUGGUGAACCAGCGGAGGGAUCAUUACCGAGUGCAAACUCAUAACCCUUUGUGAACCUAUAUCUGUUGCUUCGGCGGCUCGCACUCGGGCGAGCCCGCCGGUAAUAUCAGUAUCUCUGUUUGAACCCGACGAUACUUCUGAGUGUUCUUAGCGAACAGUUAAAACUUUUAACAACGGAUCUCUUGGCUCUA
rnacentral:misc_RNA from 1 species